rnacentral:rRNA from 1 species
GCGUGGAUGAUGUGGAUUAAUUCGAUGCAACGCGAAAACCUUACCUACCCUUGACAUGUCCGGAAUCCCGAAGAGAUUUGGGAGUGCUCGCAAGAGAACCGGAACACAGGUGCUGCAUGGCUGUCGUCAGCUCGUGUCGUGAGAUGUUGGGUUAAGUCCCGCAACGAGCGCAACCCUUGUCAUUAGUUGCCAUCAUUUGGUUGGGCACUCUAAUGAGACUGCCGGUGACAAACCGGAGGAAGGUGGGGAUGACGUCAAGUCCUCAUGGCCCUUAUGGGUAGGGCUUCACACGUCAUACAAUGGUCGGUACAGAGGGUUGCCAACCCGCGAGGGGGAGCUAAUCCCACAAAGCCGAUCGUAGUCCGGAUCGCAGUCUGCAACUCGACUGCGUGAAGUCGGAAUCGCUAGUAAUCGUGGAUCAGCAUGUCACGGUGAAUACGUUCCCGGGUCUU